CCCUUUCCCCACUAAGCCUCCCUUCUUGCUCCCUCCCCAACCUUCUCGAUGAGUGCUAAGGAGGACAAUCACCAGGACAGUCACUUUGUUGUAGUCAGAGCUCCGACAAGGUUUGCCUUUGGACUUUGGUCCAACUCUGGCCUUCCCCUGCCUCCAAGUUCUCUCUUGGCUGGCUCUGUUCUGCCCUGAACUUCAGGAAGGUGGGGUUAAGACCAGCUUCUGUGAGGUCACUACCUUUCUCAUGGAACAUUCCCUGGUUGCUAUGACAAUGGGGCCCAAACAAACCACAUUCUCAGCCAGGUGAGGCUGGCCACACUUGGCACUGCACUCUCCAAAGAGGACACUGGUAUUGAUUCUAAGACAGAAGGGAAGGGCUUCAAAGAAAGAAAAGGAAAGAAGGAGUUGACUGGCACAUGGGACAGGGAGGAACUGCUGAAAGAUGUUUCUCCCUUAAGUUCUGGAGACUCCAAGGAUUGCCAGGAGGGGCCCAGCCGGCCAUUAAAGCUACUAUCAGAAGAGGACGCAGCAGCCACAGGAGGUUACAUUAUGGUGCCCAACAGAUUAUAAAUCACCUGAGGAGAUGUAUUGGGUUCAAGAUUGGAGAUGGAUCAACAGACCUGCACUUGGUCAGUGAGGACAAGAUAUAUACAAAAGAGCCAUUGCACAGGGCCAAAGAAGCACAAAGCUAAACCUGAACUGUGCCAAAAGAGCACAUAGAUCAACAAAAAAACCAAUCCAGGAAGGAAUGAUGCACUUCUAAGCCAAUACAAAGGACUUGAACCUAGUGUGAGAAUCGAGGUUGCAACGCUUAACUUACAUUAAGAUGUAGGCCUUCCUUGUAUUGGCUAAUCAGCCAUGGGUACAAACAUGGUUUAUUUUGUAUCCUUGAUUUCUAAUAAUCUUAAUGAACCUCAUAAACUAUAAUACUUUUGUUACUAGAAAUUAAUUUAACUUUUACAGUAUCACAUCACAACCAAAUGCCACUGUUUAUUUAGUCCUUGCCCAGUUGAUGGACAGCUCCUUAAUUUCCAGUUCUUUGCCACCACCAAGAGAGCUAUCAUAAAUAUUUUGGAACAUGGAGCUUCUUUUCCUUUUUCUUUGACCUCCUUGGGAAAUAGGCCCAGCAAUGACAUUGCUGGAUUCUAAGGGCAUACAGAGUCUUAGUUCACAGCUCCCCAUAACAGUGUAUCAGUGUUUCCACAU
rnacentral:lncRNA from 1 species